ACCUGCAAUGCCAAGCAAAUAUAUAUUGAAGCAUUCUUUGUAAAGCAUUCUGAUCAGAAGCAACGGGAACAGCUAACCAGCUUUCUCUUUUAAGGCACUGACCAUUAGAGCAGUUGAGCAGGUGCCAUUUAUCCCUAAGGCACAACUAUGAGGUGAGACAAACACGCACCUCAAGGGAAAAGGAAACAACAGCCACACUUCCCCUUUCCAUCGGGAGAAAAUUCUGCUUAUUAAGUUUGACUUCUAUUGUGUUAUAUGGAAAAAAACAAAACAACCAACUGAUUUAAUAUUUUAACAGUGAGAAUACUAUACCCAGUGCCAAAGGUUUUUACCCACCUCUAACAGAUAUGUAAAGAUAGAAACUAAAGAUUCCCUGUUUCACUGAGUGCUCCAGAAGGCAAAAACAAACAAGCAGAAGCUCAGUUAAUUGUUAGUUGUUCUCCCUUACAGGGUCUGCCUCUAAAGCUUCCUCAAAGCCACACAGACAACAAAAGCACCUUCACCAAAUGAAUCUCUCCUGCAUCCAACCUUUUAAGAGCCCAUUUACUACACUAAGUUUCUAUAGGUAGAGGCUGCCAAAGAGUCUAUUUUAAUAUGGAAAAGCUGGUGUAGAAGAAAAGUGGCAAAAUGCAGCCGAACCAGUUUGGGAGCAGCUUUUGGUCUGUAAUAAUUCUUACCAGCUUCACCACAACUCACUGAAAUGAAGAAAACUCCAUUUCCCCAGCAUCAGAAUGACAGCUAACGCCACUCUGAGCAAACACAUUUAACCUGCUUCCAUUGGGUGUCUCUGAGAUUUUCCAGGAAGUCCUCGGAGCUUUAGAUUAAACAGAUUGAUACGCUGAACACACACUGAGUCUGCUGAGAUAAAGCAACACUAAAUGACCUGAGCUAUUACAUUACAUCACAAAGAAAGCCAGGUCGACCAAAGUAACUGCUUUUCCAAACAAACCCACUGCAAACCAACCUGCCACAAGAGCACCUCAGUGGUACUUGGCUGUGCUUGAGGACCUUAAUCAAAAUAGAAGAGCACAGCCACCCUGCGCUGCUCAUUCAGGAGGACCAGAAUAUAUAUGUACCAAAUCUUCCUCAGUCCUAAGGAAACCAGCAUCACAAAACAUCUGCUGAGAACUAUAUUUGAGGACUAUGGCACAACUACAGCAGAGCACAAACCAGAUUUUCCUGUUACCGACGCUCCUGUCAGCACUUUGUGCAGCUACCAGCCCUUCCUGAUCAAGCACUUGCACAGAAUCCUGCAGCUGCCAGGACCACAAUCUGGCAAGGACGGUGUUCAUGACGUGCUGCAGCCCUCUGCUCUGCCCCUCCCUCUCCAACAAAUAAAGGAGAAUCAGAGGAUUGUUCAUGAACCACCCUCUUCCUACAUACACACUGUAUUUAUUUACAUCCUACUACCCGUGAACAUUUCCGAAGUAAAGGUUAUGUUGCUAACAAA